GACGGGGUAGCUCAGUCGGUAGAGCAAGCGGCUCAUAAUCGCUGUGUCGGGGGUUCAAGUCCCCCCCUCGUCACCA
rnacentral:tRNA from 1 species